GUGCUCGUGUCAGCAGCACGUAUAAUAAAAUUAGAACGAUACAGAGAUUAGCAAGGCCCCCGUGCAAGGACGACAUGCAAAUUCUUGAAGCGUUCCAUAUUUUU